UACGGAGGGCGCGAGCGUUGUCCGGAAUCAUUGGGUUUAAAGGGUGCGCAGGCGGCCCGAUAAGCCGGGGGUGAAAUACCGGGGCUCAACCCCGGUGCCGCCCCCGGAACUGCCGGGCUUGAGUACCGUUAAGGCAGGCGGAAUUUGUGGUGUAGCGGUGAAAUGCAUAGAUACCACAAGGAACACCGAAAGCGAAGGCAGCCUGCCGGGCGGGAACUGACGCUCAUGCACGAAAGCGCGGGUAGCGAACAGG
rnacentral:rRNA from 1 species